AAAAAGACAAACCCUGGGUUUGCGUGUCCAACUUUGACUGUCCGUCUUAUAUGAAAUUUUUUUAUAAUUCGUAUUUUCAUUGUUGUUAGAUGAUAAAACAUGAUUAAUAUUUUAUGCGUGACUUGUCUUUUUAAUUUUUUUCAUAAUUUUUUCAAAUAAGACGGACGGUCAAAUGUUGGGCACGGAAACCAGGGUUUGUCUUUUU
rfam:Oryza sativa Japonica Group DNA, chromosome 5, cultivar: Nipponbare, complete sequence.